UUUCCACCUAAACUAAAGGGUGUUCAGCGCCUAAUCACCAAAGAGAAUCUGAACCUUUCUAUGUUCUGCUUAUAUAGGUUGUUGAACUUUCCAGCUCACCUGUUGAACAAAUAUUAAUUAGCAUGCAAUAAUUCUAUUUAAUAUACCUCUACUUGAAUGCUUGUUUUUUUGUCAGAAUCAUUCAAAGAGCAAGUGAGAAAUUCUCACUGAUGGUUGUGAGAAGAGAGAUAACUGCUCAGAAAAGGGUCACAAUGCAUGACCUAGUAUCCAGUCUGUCCCAGGGGGUAAAGAUGCUUAGACUUAACAUUAACAUUAACAUGCCUCAUGUUUAAUUUAAAACUUCACUUGAUCGCUUUAAACAGAUGACUCAUCGCCUAGACAGAAUUUCAGUGCUCCACAGUAGCAGUCAUAUAACCUACUUAGAUGGCAUUUAUGGUAAUAAUGAGAUCAGAAAUAAGAGGAAUAUUUUAUAUUCCUAUAUAAAUAAGAAGAAAAUAAAAGGAAGCUGGAAGAGAUGUCAGGAAAUUCCCCGGGAGUUUAAAAUUUUGGCAUUUUUUAAUAAAAAUAUCAGAAAGAAAGCUCAUAUUAUCCCACAGAUGGGUCUGGUCAGUUGAUAUGAGGCAAUCCUGUAAUGAUAGUCAUGUACUAGCUAGAUACUGAAUGAUGUUAAUGUCUAGAUAAUACAAAACAAUUAGGAGAUAUACAUUUGUCCCCGGUGAUUCCUCUACUCUGACUAAUUGUUAUUGUUGCUGUGUUUGCUACAUAAACUUUUUUUUCGGGAUGUGUGUGGGGGGGGUGGCGGUUGAUAAAGACCUGAAAGCUGUACUUUGCAGACUUCCAGACUUUCACUGGUGACAUCAUAACUAAGCCUGCUUCAGCAAUUUGAUUUCUUAAUUUGCAUCCUUGGCUCUAGGGAAGAGAGUGUUCUGGGCCUCAGAAGAUCUAGUGAGGAAUUCUUCGGAAACACUUUUUGCUCUAUAGUUACUUUGUCUCUGGACCUGUUUUGAAGCUUUGAAAUGGGUGAAUGUUUAACUUAAGAUGUAAUCCUCCCAAUAGUAAGAUGUUUCUACAGAAAACUUUUUCUUUGUUGUAGGCUAAGAUGUUAUCUUUAGGCAUAUUUGUGAAAUCCAUAAGGGUAAUUUUCAGGGGAUCCCUUCUGCUAGCACUUUAGGACAGUAUCAAAAGUUAUAGAUCAGAGGAUUUCCACAAUUGAUCUUCAUAUUUAUACUUCACCCACUGCUCUGAUGGAGACAAAGAACUGCCAUAUCCUAAUACAGCCCUGCAGCAUGAGAGAAUUUGUUUUUUCAUGGAAAACUGCAGCCUAAUAGCAGUUGUGAGGGUAGGCUAUUGACCAUUACAGACAUUCUUACAAGACACUGCCUGUGUGGGCAAAUGGAAAAUUCAGAUUUACUGGAAUAUACAAAUCAGGAAAUGGCCUGAUAGAGAUAAAAAUCAACAAUGUUUUUAAAUCUUCUGCUCUGAUAUUCUGGAAAGUGUUAUGCUGUAAAAAUGCUCCAUCUUACACUGCUUUUGCAUGGAAGAUGUUUCUUUAUUGAACACCUGUGUUUCUGGUAAGAGAUAAAUAAUUGAAGAGGCCCUGGAAAAACACAAUGGUCUUUCUUUGUUUUGCCAUGACUGAAGUACAUGAAGUAGCUGAAAUACCACCUUGUAACACAAUUAAAUGUGUAAUUCUUCAAAAACGCUUGAAUGUUAAUCACAUGAAUGCUUCUGAUUACAGCAGGAGACUUGUAUGGACACAAAAGCCUAAAAUAUAGUAGUAUUCAAAUUAAACUUGUUGAUGAGAUGGAGACACAGGAAUGAAGACUUCCAGGGUAUGAAGGGUGUGAAGAUUCCUGAUAGUGACUUGAAUCUCCUAACAGUUCGUUUGGCUUCUCCAUUACAUCCACAGCAAUGGAAACAGAUCCCUGUAAAAUGUGGUAAAAUGCAGCUUUAGAAGAAAUAUCUCCUUCGAUUUUAACAGACAUUUUAACAGAUUUUAACAGUCAAAGCAGGUGGGGGAAGCUGAUACUGUUAGCUAGGACCUAUAAAACGUUCCUGUUAAAGGAAACAAAACCCAACUCUGAAGCCUCACUUGUAAGCCUGAAGACAAAUUGAAUUGUUCUGGCUUGCUUCCACACUGCAAGAGAGAACACAAGAAGUGCGGAGAAACACGUUUUCUGUAGUUCAGGACUGGUGAAAUUCAUACUACGUUGCUUGCAGUUCACACCAUUUCACUGUUGUGACAGAACACAGAAGAGGUUGUGCUUCAACAGCGAAGAUAAUAUGUUGGCCAGGACACCAUUCAUAUAGUGCUGAGAAUACAAAAAAAAUCCUGUGUUCAGGUGAGAGUAGAAUUUUGCAUUCCUGGCUAUUUGCAUUCCUUGCUAUUAGUAUGAUGUAGUUAAUUCUAAAUUAGUCUUGGAAUGGCAUGCCUCUUAAUGGGGUAAUGUUUGAGGUGGUUCUGUCCAGUGAGGUGCUUCUAGUCACUGAAUAAUCACUUGCUACCUUCCCUUCAGAUAGAAAACACAUUGAACAAUAAGAAAAAUAUCUCUUUUUCUCAAAUUGAUAUCUCAAUCUGAUAUCAGGUUGGGUAUUUCUUGGCCAAAAGCAGGUAGUGACAAGAGGAUGUGGAAAAGGAAGGAAUUAGAAGCUUGGAUUCUGCAGCAAGGUCUGCAUCAGCCCACUGAAGUUCAUCUUGGGUAUGCAGGUGGUUAAACUAACAGGUAUGAAGUCAUGGUUCCUAAGAACUGGGAACAUUAAUAUCUAUAAUCUACAACAAAAUAGUAAUUCAUAAUUAUUAUUAAUGUCACAAAUGACAAUUUGUCAUUUGCCUUACCAGGUAAAAGCAGGGACACAGCUGUUCCUAAGAUGCUAUGGAUGUGCUGAUUAGAAAUUACACUGACUAAAGCAGAGUUCUGAUACUUUCUGAUACUCUCUUAACUGAUAUCUACUGUAGAAAACAAGAACAGCACCCCACAAACAUUCCGACCUGUCUUUACUGGAUCGUCAAGAUAUAGUGGACAAGUUUGAGACAAACCUGCCAAUAUUUAUAGUUAACAGUAAAUAUUACAAUUAUAAAAUUUCAAGUAUAAACACACAAUUUCUUGAUAGAGAUUAGAAUGGUCUUUGAGGUCACCAAAGGGGCUUUUCUAAAUCUCUUAAAAUAUGUCCAUAGCAGUAAGAUCAUUAACUCAGUGGUCCAAACCAGUUAUGGUUGCUUGUCCUAGAGUGUGCUGAAAUUUCAGUAUUUCAAGAUCUCUGCUAAAUUUGCUUUGAUAUGGUUCUGCUUGCUAGGACCUGAGAAGGACACAUCCCUUUUGCUGAUGCUUGUGCUCACCUGUGGCUGGGGCUUGCAUACACAUUUCUACCCAGCUGAUUGAAUUCCCCAAACUUACUGUUUCUGGAAAAAUUCAAGUGCCAGUGCCAGCACAAGAGAUAGGUGGAUGUAUAUAUCCAUGGGGAGAAUCAGACAGAGAGAUGAGAUGACUGUAGCAGCUGUAGUAGGUUUCUUUUCUCUGACAGGUUGUGAAGCAGCUUCUUCUGUUCCCUAUCAAGAGACUCAUUUAUCCCUUCACUCGUGAAAAAGCAGCCUUUGAAUCAAUCAUUCCCACAGUUUCUUUUCACUAAAAAGAAAAUAUUUUAUUUUCCGUGGUCCUUCACUGCUUGCAAUGCAGACCUCAAAUAUCUGAAAUACAGUAUUCUAUUUAGUCUUGUCAGAUCAAAUAAGGAGUUAUUUAAAGAAAUAAAACACUUGAGAAUAGUUUACUGUCAGAAAACAACCUAUUGUUCCCUUUUUUUCUGGCACACAGUGCCUGUGGGCAUAGAGUAAAGGGCUCCUCAAACUUCUUUUUUUUUCUUUUUAUUUACAGAGCAGCAGUGGGUAUUUAAUUGCUCUGUUUUCUUGGGUGUUUUUUUUUGGUUUUUUUUUCCCCCUCAUAAAUUUUUCUGAGUUUAUUUACCCUUGGUAUCCUAUGUUGUUUAGUUGUUACAGAGUCAAGGAGUCUGACAAAGGCCUGCUUUAUGUUCCGUGCUUUUGUGGGCCAGAGCUGUGCAAGUCUCCACACAACCCAGCAACCUUCCUCAGCCCAAGGUGGACUGGAAUAAGUAAAUGUAGAAUACAAGCAGAGGACUCCUUAGCUUCAAGCAAAUGAGGAGUCAGUUCUACAACAGCUACUUCACUAUCACACAUGCUUUUACCACAGUGACUAUCCUUAAAAAGCUCCUUGGACAAUGCCUCUUCUUUUGGGGGUAUUUUAUUAUUUCCUUUGUAGUACUUGAACAUGUCACUUUUUUUUUUUUUUUUAACAUACGUUAGAAUAAUGUAAUUUUGUUGCUACAAAUCAUACUUUUUUACAGUCUUAAUAUAAAAUUACAAAUGCCUGUUGUCAAGAGUUAAAAACAUAGAAUAUGAUUUCUGUUAAACCUUCUACCAGUCUCUUUGAUUUUAAAAUUUCCAUCUGUAUGUGUAUGUGCAUUGCAGUAGCAUAUUUUUUACCUCAGACAUUUAUCUAUAAAUCUGUAAUGCGGUUAUUGAAACUGUGCUAAAGGUUAAACUUAUUAAAAAUUCCUUUUCAAAUAAAAAUGAUGAAUAUUACUCUUAAUGGGAUAGUUCAUUUAAACAAAUUAAAUGCCAUUUAAACAGUUUUUUAGAAAAAUCAUUAUAUUCUACUAAGUUCAUUUUUUUAAAGUUAUCAUUUAAUCUGUAUUAGAUGCCUAGACAGAACAAAGGUAUUUCAUCUUUUUUCCAUUUUAGCAUCUGCUGUGAUACAAUACUUUGUUUCCAGCUGUAAUUACCUUCUGUAAUUGCCACUGCCUCCUCUUGUAAUACUUGCUUGACAAUCUGAAAGAUAAUAUGUAUUUAUUAGUUGUACUGUCUUAAAUAUUUUCUGUUGUCAGUCAAAUAAAGUUGAGCUGCAUAAACCUGUCCUGAUAAUUGAAAAAGCUGUUGUUAGUUCACUGCAAGUACAAAAGUGGCUGGUCUGGAGCUUUUCACCUGUAAGGCUGGCAAGACUUUCAAGCAUGUCUUGUACCCAGAGACUAUGAAACAUGACUAGCUGUGUGUCUGCAUGGGCACAUUAAGAAAAAUUAUACAUCUGACAGGACAGAAAAACUCAGAAAGGGCUGUUAGGACUGAUGUCAGCAUUCACCUUCAAACUGAGGCAUCUUCCAAACACAGUUGUCCCUUUGUCAUGUGAGUGGUAGUACUCAUGGGGC